AUUGGAAUAUCUCGAAAACUUAAAAGACUAACUUGACAUCUUUUAAAAUCGAAAGAGUACAAAUAAAAUUGGACUAAGAUUGAGGGGAUAUUUGUAUAAUUUAUUCAAAAAAUUAAUAAUUGGAUUAAAUAUAAACUCAUCCAAAAAUUACUUACCUUUUGAUCGUGCUCCAGGAGAUGGUCCUAAAAAAAUAAUGAUAAUAACAAUAAGUAUCUUUUAUAAUUUCUUUUCUACUUUUAAAAAAAUUUAUAUCCCUAAUUCUUUAUUCUAAUCCCAAGAUCCCAAGAAAUGAAUGAAAUCAGAAAAUCUACCCAUAGAUCCGGAUCUCUUAUGCCAUC
rnacentral:lncRNA from 1 species